UACGCAGGGGGCAAGCGUUGUCCGGAUUUAUUGGGCGUAAAGAGCGUGUAGGCGGCUUCACCGGUCUGCUGUGAAAACUCGAGGCUCAACCUCGAGCUGUCGGUGGAAACCGUGGGGCUAGAGUCCGGAAGAGGAGAGUGGAAUUCCCGGUGUAGCGGUGAAAUGCGCAGAUAUCGGGAAGAACACCCGUGGCGAAGGCGGCUCUCUGGGACGGUACUGACGCUGAGACGCGAAAGCGUGGGGAGCAAACAGG
rnacentral:rRNA from 1 species